AGCGAACGCUGGCGGCAGGCCUAACACAUGCAAGUCGAACGAACCUUUCGGGGUUAGUGGCGGACGGGUGAGUAACACGUGGGAACGUGCCUUUAGGUUCGGAAUAACUCAGGGAAACUUGUGCUAAUACCGAAUGUGCCCUUCGGGGGAAAGAUUAAUCGCCUUUAGAGCGGCCCGCGUCUGAUUAGCUAGUUGGUUGAGGUAAUGGCUCACCAAGGCGACGAUCAGUAGCCGGUCUGAGAGGAUGAUCAGCCACAUUGGGACUGAGACACGGCCCAAACUCCUACGGGAGGCAGCAGUGGGGAAUCUUGCGCAAUGGGCGAAAGCCUGACGCAGCCAUGCCGCGUGAAUGAUGAAGGUCUUAGGAUUGUAAAAUUCUUUCACCGGGGACGAUAAUGACGGUACCCGGAGAAGAAGCCCCGGCUAACUUCGU
rnacentral:rRNA from 1 species